rnacentral:lncRNA from 1 species
AGGGUGAUGUAGAUGUUUCUCUUCCCAAAGUGGAAGGUGAGAUUAAAGUUCCUGAAGUUGACAUCAAAGGCCCCAAAGUGGAUGUUGACGUUCCAGAUGUGGAUGUACAGGGCCCAGACUGGCACCUGAAGAUGCCCAAGGUGAAGAUGCCCAAGUUCAGUAUGCCUGGCUUCAAAGCAGAGGGCCCAGAGGUGGAUGUGAGCCUGCCCAAGGCUGACCUUGAUGUGUCAGGACCCAAGGUGGACAUUGAUGUUCCAGAUGUGAAUGUCGAUGGUCCAGAUAUGAAAGUGAAAGGUCCCAAAUUCAAGAUGCCUGAGAUUAACAUCAAGGCCCCCAAGAUCUCUAUGCCAGAUGUUGAUCUGGAGUUAAAAGGACCCAAAGUAAAAGGAGCCUUUGAUGGGUCUGUUCCUAAGAUUGAAGGUACUCUCAAAGGACCUGAAAUAGACAUGAAAGGUCCAGGUCUGGAUUUUGAAGGCCCUGAUGCUAAACUUAGUGGUCCUAAUUUGAAGAUGCCAUCACUGGAGGUACCUGUUCCUAAAAUAAGUGGGCCUGAUGCUAAUGUGCACCUCAAGACACCAAAUGUUGGAAUUUCUGGGCCUAAGUUAGGAGGAGGUGAAGUUGACCUCAGGGGGCCUAAAGUUGAUUUAGAAACUCCAAGCUUAGAUGUCCACAUGGAGAGUCCAGAUAUUAAUAUUGAAGGGCCAGAUGUUAAAGUUCCGAAGUUUAAAAAACCCAAGUUUGGAUUUGGUGCAAAAAGCCCCAAAGCUGACAUUAAGACCCCCACAGUUGAUGUGACUGUCCCUGAAGCAGAACUGAGUGUUGAGACUCCUGAGAUAAACAUU